UCUCCGUAGGUGAACCUGCGGAGGGAUCAUUACAGAGUUCAUGCCCUACCGGGUAGAUCUCCCACCCUAUGUUCUUAUUACUUUGUUGCUUUGGCGGGCCGUUAGGCUCCGGCCCGACUACCGGCCCCGGCUGGUAAGCGCCCGCCAGAGGACCCAAAACCCUGAAUAUUAGUGUCGUCUGAGUACUAUAUAAUAGUUAAAACUUUCAACAACGGAUCUCUUGGUUCUG
rnacentral:misc_RNA from 1 species